UAUAUUAGAAGUGCCUUUGAGGGUUUAUGGAUAAGUUUGUGUCCAUGUGGUUGGUUUGAUAUGUCUGUUUGUCUGCCUUGAAUUUACUUACACAGUUAACUGUGGAUAAAUAAUGUUUCUAUGUUCUGCUAAAAUUUGACCUUGUAAAUUAUUAUUAUUUAAAAGUGUAAUGUGCUUUCAGCUAUGUGUCAGCUGAUAUGAAACUCUAAUAACAAUUACUUUGUUUCAAGCAUACUGUGAUCAUUUCUCUGUCAGGUGCAGAAAAGUGAAGCAAAACAAGUGAAAAUGUUCAUUAAUAAAUUAAUUCUAUCCAAAUAAUUAGAUAAGCUUUGUAAAUUCAAUAAAAUUUCAUUGUGCAAGUGUUAUUAGAAAAGCAGAUUUUUUCAGUGGAUAGAUGCUUGUUCACAGUGCAGGAGGUUUUUGUACGGCCACUUAAUGAGUUUGUAUCACUGUGGUGGACUUUUGGUGGAGGAACCAAACUCAUCAUGUUCUCUGGCACCAUGGUCAGGCCCUCAGUCUCUCUGCUUCCCCCCUCCUCUGAGCAGCUUUCUGGGGGCUCGGCCACGCUGGCUUGCCUGCUGACUGGCUACUCUCCUCAGGGAGCUGUGGUGAGCUGGGAGGUGGACGGUACAGAGGUGACAGAGGGAGUCCUGACCAGCUCAGAGGAGGAGAAGAGCGGACGCUACAGCAGCAGCAGCACCCUGAGCCUGAGCAAGGAGCGCUGGAUGGGAGGAGAGCUGUACUCCUGCAAGGUCCUCCAUCAUGACCACAGCCAGACCCAGUCCCUCCACAGGAGCCAGUGUAAGGGUUAGAGGGGCAGGCUGAAGCCCAGGACAGGAGCUCUGUGUGUGGGGAGCAGGAGGAACACACUUGCUGCUCUGAUCAAUAUGACUUUUAAUGUUUGUAGAGGAAACUAAAGCUUUGUGUAACAGAGAACAACACUGCUGUAAAGUGUUGGACAACAACAACUUAGAGAGUAAUGUGUGUAGCUCAGCAGCUAGAUGUGAGCAUCAUGUUGAGGAUUAAUGUUUUUGCUAAUAAAGCUUGCACUGAAAAAUA